AACGAUUGAUGCCCAGCUUGCUGGGCGGAUUAGUGGCGAACGGGUGAGUAAUACGUGAGUAACCUGCCCUUGACUCUGGGAUAAGCCUGGGAAACUGGGUCUAAUACUGGAUACUACCUCUUACCGCAUGGUGGGUGGUGGAAAGGGUUUUACUGGUUUUGGAUGGGCUCACGGCCUAUCAGCUUGUUGGUGGGGUAAUGGCUCACCAAGGCGACGACGGGUAGCCGGCCUGAGAGGGUGACCGGCCACACUGGGACUGAGACACGGCCCAGACUCCUACGGGAGGCAGCAGUGGGGAAUAUUGCACAAUGGGCGGAAGCCUGAUGCAGCGACGCCGCGUGAGGGAUGACGGCCUUCGGGUUGUAAACCUCUUUCAGUAGGGAAGAAGCGAGAGUGACGGUACCUGCAGAAGAAGCGCCGGCUAACUACGUGCCAGCAGCCGCGGUAAUACGUAGGGCGCAAGCGUUGUCCGGAAUUAUUGGGCGUAAAGAGCUCGUAGGCGGUUUGUCGCGUCUGCUGUGAAAGCCCGGGGCUCAACCCCGGGUCUGCAGUGGGUACGGGCAGACUAGAGUGCAGUAGGGGAGACUGGAAUUCCUGGUGUAGCGGUGAAAUGCGCAGAUAUCAGGAGGAACACCGAUGGCGAAGGCAGGUCUCUGGGCUGUUACUGACGCUGAGGAGCGAAAGCAUGGGGAGCGAACAGGAUUAGAUACCCUGGUAGUCCAUGC
rnacentral:rRNA from 1 species